rnacentral:rRNA from 1 species
AUGACUCUCGGCAACGGAUAUCUCGGCUCUCGCAUCGAUGAAGAACGUAGCGAAAUGCGAUACUUGGUGUGAAUUGCAGAAUCCCGUGAACCAUCGAGUCUUUGAACGCAAGUUGCGCCCGAAGCCUUUUGGCCGAGGGCACGUUUGCCUGGGCUUC